GUGGGAGGGGGCUUGCUCCCGAUGGCGGUGGGUCAGUCAACAUCUAUUUGACUGAAAUCCCGCCAUCGGGAGCAAGCCCCCUCCCAC
rnacentral:misc_RNA from 1 species